AUGGCACGGCAUUUAACUACGAGAGUUAUGAAAUUCUCAGUGAUACUAAAAAUCAAGGAAAUACGGAUUCGGUGUCAGUGUAUAGACACUAUGGAAUACUAGCAGGACUGCUGGUGCUGCACUUCUGCCAGCAAACAUGAAAAUCAACUAUGGACUAAACAAAAAUACCGAUUUGCUGAUGUCUUCUACGAGGAAGGACCAGAACAUCCUCUUUGUUGCACAGUGACAUCAUAACUGAGAUUUUCACUGAAUUAAAGUCGGGAGCUUUGGAAAAAAGAAAAAUCUUUCUACUAAAUGUAUCCGUGUUGUUCAAGGCAGUUAAAAUUUUUAUAUGUGAUUUGAAAUUACCACAGAUUUUAUGCUGUUUAAGAUGCUUUACUGGGUCUAUGAAUUAUCCAACAAUCAUUAUCUGAGAAGCCUUUAUGAAACUGUAACCAACAUUUUCACUUUUGCAUAAAAAAAACCCCAAAAAAAUUAACAUAUGGUAUUUUUUACUUAUUGCUUUCACAAGUCAGGAUGUCUGAUUAAAGGGGUCCUAUGAUGUUGCUAAAAAAAAAACAUUAUUUUGUGCAUUUGGUGUAAUGCAAUGUGUUUAUGCCAUUUAAGGUAAAAAAAAAAAAAAUUCCACAUACUGUACUUUAUUGUUUCUCCUCUAUGCCCCACCUUUUUGAAACGCGUUGAUUUUUACAAAGCUCAUUGUUCUGAGAAGUGAGGUGUGCUCUGAUUGGCCAGCUAUCCAUUGCAUUGUGAUUGGCCUUAUACCUCAAACAUGUGAUGGAAAUAUUAG